GGAGGGCAGAGGCGUCGGCAAGUUAGCGUGCAGGCGCGUGGCAGCGACAGGAGAUGUGUAGCCAGAGCGCAGAGCAGGUGUGGACUCCGGCGCUGGGGAAGCGUGGCCAGGGCGAGAUUUCAGCCUGGGUCGGGGACAGAAUGGGGACUGAUAGGGGCGUAACCUGGAAUGACGAAAUGACGUUUGCUGCGUAGGGACGUGGCUAAACGUGAGGGGGCGUGGCCAAGAUGGCCGCGUGCGGGAUCCUCGGGUACCGGGAGCGAACGAGGAGGUUCUGGCUCAGUGCAUCCACUCUGGGAGAGCGUGGACCUGGUUCCUGGGGGCGAUCGCCAGUCACCCAUCAACAUUCGGUGGAGGGACAGUGUUUAUGAUCCCGGCUUAAAACCACUGACCAUCUCUUAUGACCCAGCCACCUGCCUCCACGUCUGGAAUAAUGGGUACUCUUUCCUCGUGGAAUUUGAAGAUUCUACAGAUAAAUCAGGUCUGCACUUAGUGCAUUGGAACGCAGUCAAAUUUGAAAACUUUGAGGAUGCAGCACUGGAAGAAAAUGGUUUGGCUGUGAUAGGAGUAUUUUUAAAGGAAAAUUCUCAGUCUCCCUUGAAGAAGUGAAGCCUCCUUCUUUAUGCACUGGCCACUGUCUAAUACCUCCCAGCAAUACUCAGAGGAGACUACCUGCUGGAACCUCACUAGAAUUGAGAGAUCAAAUGGUUUUGGCUGUUUUCCCACUGGAGAAUAUAAAAAAUACACAGUUAAUUUUAGAAACAAAGGCUGGGCAUGAUUCCAUCCUAAGCAGCAAUUCUUCAGGUAGCUGCCCAGAAGGGCCUGGAGCUCCUCUGGACCACUGCUGAUCUCCAGAUACUCCCUGAGAACCGUCACCUCGGCGUCCAAUUCCUGAGUGGUUUUCACUACUAAAUAAUGACUCAGUGACCCAGUCUCUUGGCCAGGACGCUGUUAUGGAAUUUGGGUCGUUUGGCACUUCCUGCCUGGUGCCCACCUGUCUAGAUUACUGGACCCAAGUAGGUCCAGUAUCUCCCUGGUCCAGCCCUGUCUUGAGUCCAUCACCUUUAUCAUUAAGAAGCAGCCAGUAGAGGUUGAUGAUGAUCAGGUACGUUCUCUCCACCUUCUGCAGCUGCGCGCGGCAAAGCUGUGGCCUGGCCGUGGCCUCCUGCCCCAUGCAACAGUUGGUGGACAGACCGUACCUGGCACACGGCGCCUUGUGCACUUUCCAACAUUUUGAUGCUAACCGUCGCUAGUCACUGAGCCCUGACAUUUGAUCUCUGGCCUUGACCGCAGAUUUCGGAAACUUCUGGCAGCCCAGUGUCUACUGGAAGGCCCAAGCCGCUUGCCAGAAAGCUGCGCCCCGCCCAAAAGCACUGGGUUCUGCAGUCCAGGCCCUUCCUCAGCUCCCAGGUCCAGGAGAACUGCAAGGUCACCUACUUCCACAGGAAGCACUGGGUCCGCAUCCGGCCCCUCCGCACCACUCCUCCCAGCUGGGACUACACCCGCAUCUGCAUCCAGAGAGAGAUGGUCCCCGCCCGCAUCCGCGUCCUGAGAGAGAUGGUCCCCGAGGCCUGGAGGUGCUUUCCCAACAGGCUGCCGCUGCUGAGCAACAUCAGGCCUGAUUUCUCCAAGGCUCCCCUGGCCUACGUGAAGCGGUGGCUUUGGACCGCCCGCCACCCCCACAGCCUGUCCGCAGCCUGGUGACCGUGAAAAUCGCCCCGCCAGAGAGCAGAGGAAGCCCGACGCCCAGGCCAUCUGCCUUCAGGUCUGUGAUGAGAAACGGAGUGGCCUGUUCCGUUGUGCCCAGGUCUAGGCCGCUGAGCAGAGCCCUCACUCCCAGGCAGAGUUGUCUGAAUCCUUCCUGGCGGCCGCCUGCUGCCCUGACGCCUCAGGCUUGCCUGCACCUGGAAGGAGCUUCGCCAGGUGGGCCAUGAGCCUCUGAGCACACCCAGCCUGCUGCCCGGCUCCAAGAGUCAGGCCCCUGCCACCACCUCCUGAGCCUCCAGCCCUCAGCACCUUCACCCUACUGACCGCGGUUCUACCCCCACACCAGCCACCGGCCCCACCGGGGCACUUCCCACUGCUCCAGCCGACCACUCAGCGAGCCCCAGGCCCACCUCUCCUCUCCCUUAAAGCCCUUCCCUUGCCCUUGCCC
rnacentral:lncRNA from 1 species